UACGUAGGCCCCAAGCGUUAUCCGGAAUUACUGGGUGUAAAGCGUCUGUAGGUGGGAUUAUAAGUCUCUCAUGAAAGACCGGAGCUCAACUCCGUGUUUGUGAGAGAUACUGUAGUUCUAGAAUCGGGGAGAGGGAAGCAGAAUUGUAUGAGUAGGGGUGCAAUCCGUUGAUACAUACAAGAAUACCAAAAGCGAAGGCAGCUUCCUGGAACCGUAUUGACACUGAGAGACGAAAGCGUGGGGAGCGAAAAGG
rnacentral:rRNA from 1 species